UUAGGUAUUAAAGGAUAGGGAAUGAAAUAAAGCUUAAAUGGCCUCAUUGAUUAAUAAUUUUAUAUGAUUAAGAACGAAAAACCCCUAUUUUUACUAUACCCCCGAGAGGGGAUAAGCCCCGAACACUAGCGAACCUGGCGGGGAAUCUUGGGACCCUUUACUAAACACCCACCGUUUCUUCCAAGAGACUAGGAUAGCGCGAGAGUGUACCUUUCCUAUUAUAUCGUGAUUUAACAAUCAUAUCCUAUUCGACGAUGGGCGUUGGGACUAAGAAAUUUUUCCGAAUGUCCAAACAUAACUUUCAAUCCGCUUCCUACCACCCAUGAAAAAUUAAUUAACAAAACAUGAUGUGAGCCAUAUGGCGACACACUCGAUAUAUAGGUAUGCUUAGCCAACUAUAUUGACAGACAAACCAAAUGUAUAGGACAUUCCACGCACCGUAUAUAAUGCAUGUUAGAGUAUGUUUGGGCAUUUACGCCGAAAUUUCACAAUUUAAGUAUGCUUAUAUCCUUACUAUAGUUGUAAAGUACUGUUCAGUGUCCAGUACAUAACUAUAUAGCGCAAUAUAAAAACUCUACCGCUGCUGUGUUGUUUCUCAUAUAGAUGUCGGCCCGAUAUCGGAAGCCAACAUAAAAACUUUACAAUUUUGUAACGGUCGACUGAGAGUCAGGGGAUAGUCGGCUAAGUUGGCCGAUAUUGCCAACCAAAAAAUUGAUUGGGCCGAAUUCCCACCCUUCCCCCAAAAUUUGUAUAGUUAAGUUAGUUAACUAUUACUAGAAUAAAGAUCAAAAAAUCUUAAAAUUUACAGAAAUGGAAAGAACUUGUUGAGAUCUAUCGAUAACUGUAAAAUUAGAGUAAAAAUACCAGUAGCAAAAAAAUCCGAAAAGAAAGAGACCAGUUUACAUUUUUCCCUUUUUUUCCAUCUAGCGCUAUUCUGGACCCUAUCGAGCAAAAAUGAAAACUGUUCAGUUUCUCUUUUCGCAAUUUUCCCAUUGAAAUUUUUUUACUCUAAUUUUACAGAAAUUGAUAGAUCUCAACGAGCUCUUUCAAUUCCCGUAAAUUUUAAGGUUUUUUUAGCUUUAUUUUAGCUGAACUUUUACUUAAAAGUUUCUGAGUGAGGGGGACUUCCAAAAACAGAAACUUUGGUUUGUUCAUGUCCAUUAAGAUUGAUAUUUGCCAAAAUAUUUUGUAGUUUUCGUGAUGCCUGUUCACUUGUGCACGCGAGGAUGCUUUAAAAUUUAAAAAUUAUUUUAAGUUUUAAUUGGUAAAUCAACCUGAAACUUAACGACCAAUAAGCUUGAACCCAUGCAGCGUGAACCACACACACGAGAAAAAUGGAGCGGGACAUUUGAAUUUAAGAUACCGUAUUCCGUUUAUAGCUUUUUUCUCUUAUCUGUCGCUUUAUUUGGAAUCUUCAUAUUCACAUCUUCAUAUUCGCGCAUGAAAGCAAAGUCGACCACCACAACACGUUUCGAUCUUGGAUCAGCAGACUCUGGACAUGGUGGAAAACCCAAAUUACAACGCCUCAAAGAACGUCUCUCUCCGUUUGUCUUCACCACGAUCCGGAGGAAGGGUAAGGAUAAUUUUAUCCAUGACGCUUUAUCCCGCUCUCUUUUCGGCCAGCCCUUCGGAAGAAGACGACGCCGUUAACGCGGACAUGACAUCGCACGCGCGUCACUGCAUCGUACGACGCAUUCAGUCGGUGAGCGACGAGGAGGUUCCGGAAACUGCACCGUACCUGCUCAACCCACUUCUCGACAAUCUGCGAUCGAUUGCUGCAACAGACACGACGAGUUAAUCCAGACCAUUUCAAACGGCUUUCCGUCGGAACACCGCCAUUAUCCACCAACUUCCGGCAAUAUGGGCCAUCGGCCAUCCGCGUGGAUCUUUCAAUUGACGACGGACUAGAUGGAUGGACUAUACAACGGUCGGAUCGUGGUGCACAAAGCAGCGCGACGUGAGAUCCUCCGAAAGCUCCAUUCGUCCCACCAAGGUAUCACCAGGACAAAUCGACACGCGCCGUGGGUGCUUUACUGGACCGGAAUGUCCAAUGACAUAGUCCUUCUAGUCGAAGGGUGUCAAUCAUGCUGGCAAGUUCGCUCAAGCAUACCCAAGGAACCCAUGUUAUUGGAGCUACCACCGAAUCGCAUCUUCGAAGACGUCUCUGCCGAUCUUUUACAGUACGGGAAUCUGCACGUGCUAGUCUAUAUCGAUAGUUUGUCCAGCAGUACACAGGUGGCAUCGAGAUCCGACGGCCAACGACGUCAUUGCAGCCAUCGCCGAGAACUUCGUCGACUUAGGCGUACCCAACCGAUUCCAGGACUUACUAGAGCUACGCAACACCCCGGGAGAAACGGGAACUUCCUCGAACGAAAUUGUCUUUGGCCACAACCUGCGUUCAAUAGUACCUGCUCAUCAUUCUUCUUAUGCAACCCGCUGGAAAGCUGACACGAUUGAUCGCGACCGCAUUGUCGCCCCCGCCGCCAAAGCGAAGUUUACUACGACGCAAACGCUCAUCCUUUGGCCGCAUUCAAGAUGAAAAGACUAAAUUAUGGGAGAAAAGUCGGUGUCAUCGUAGCCAUUGGAAAAAUCCGCUCUUAAUCGCGUAAAAUUUGCAAGCGGGAGCGUCAUUUGGCGAAACCGGCACUUCCUAGUUCCUAGGUCCCAUCCGCGCCGCAGUUUUCCCAGAUACAACCGACUCAGAAGGAAGUCUGACCACACCACCUCGCGACGCGGAAGCCAACGCAACUGCUCCACAUCCAGCAACCGAUCAUCCGACAUCUGAUCCCCCCCCCACGUGACGUUGCCAUCGUGAACGCCGAUCGAAUCGCCUCACUCUUUAAAAAUUACAUUAACUUUAUGUCAUUUCCCACACUCAAGUUGCUCCUUUUCCCCCUUCACUUAUCGCUGUUCUCAUGUAACCUAUCGCCUUCAAUUUUUAAUUCAGAUUUCGAGUUUGUUUUUCUCUUUUUUGUCUGUUGUUCGCUUCCCCAUUCUGUGAAAGCUUGUGGGGGGGAUGUUGUGACCUGUCUUGGCCGCUAGAGGGCCCCCAUGUCGAGCCUAGAGCUAGAAGCUAAGCCUCAGUCUCAUGUCGACCUAGUUGAGAAAAGGUCGUCGGUUUCCCUAGAUGAAAUAAAAAGAUUCACAAUCGAACCGUAUACUCCUCCACUCGAUCAAAACAAUAAACAGUAUACAGAAAAUAAUUUAACACCUUAUAAUUCUGUAUUUUAACUGACAGCUACAAACACGUACAAACUCAAUAAACAAAAAUGCUUUGACCUGGGUGCGUAUUAUGUUUACCGAUAUUCCAUAGUAGGUCACAUCCGAUAAGAAUGUCCCAUUCCUUCCUAUUUGUUUUAUGCUCAUUUCGGUUGUCUGCCAACUUUUUCCCUUGUUUGGUGAGUUGCUCCGCUACUUGUGUGGGAUAGUAUUCAGUUGAGUUUGCUAGGAACUCUUUUUCAAUAAAUCUGUAUUUGUUUUUUUGUGCGUUACCAUAGGUUACCCAUAGAGUACAGUCUACUAUGUUAUAUCGACUUGUUUUGCACUUUUUUGUAUCAAAGGUGCUGAUGUCUAGUACUUUAGAAUCGACGAUUUCUUUCUUUGCAUUCUUUAUCGAUCCUUUCCUUAUGAAAGAGUUUUGGCUACCACUGUCCAUGAGACCUAUUAAACGUUUUAAUGUCCCAUCGUUCUGUUCGAUGUACGCUGUAAAUGUAGGCAGGAUCCCUGUUCCAUGUCUUUCAUUGCCUUCUGUUUUGUUCAUGCAUGUCACUGAUGUACUUGGCCUAUUUGGUUUUGUAGUUCAUACUGCCAUGCUAUGACCAGGUGAACUGCAGAUACUGCAAUUUCUUGUUUGUUUACAGGUUUCUGUAGGGUGCAUCCCGAACAGACAUUUGAGGCAUUUUUUAUUGUCUAAAUAGUAUUUUUUCCUUUCCUCUGGUGUACCAACUCUGCAUUGACGCGGGUUUUGUAGCGUUGACUUACAUGUCUUACAUGGCACGUAACCGUCUCUCGGUUUUUCUUUCUUUUCCUCCUCUUGAGAUUUGACCGGCCUUGCAAUUUCUUCGGAUUCUAAGAUCCUGAUUUCCUUGCUGAUGUUAGUCAGCACAUCCUUUAGUGUAGGUAUGUGGUUUUCUUCCCAAUUUUGUCUCCACCUUGUUGUCAUAUAUUUGGGAAAGGAUUGUAAUAAUGCGUUAGUCGAUUCUUCUUCAUAUGAUUCAUCUUUGACUCCAAGGUCUUGUAAACAAAGGACUUGGCUGGAUAAUCUAUUCAUUAUGUUCCUCAAUGUGUCCGCGUUGUAUUGUGAAGGUAUCGGUGUACCGCAAAUCCUCCUUAGCUCCCCUCGUCUUAGGGCUAUUGCUCUCGGUUUACUACCGUAUCUUUCUUCCAGCUUUUUUUUGUAUUUUGAUAAGUUUCGUUGGAAAACGGGAUGUCUUGGAUAGCUUCUUUUGCUUUCCCAGUGAUGCACUGUAAAAGCAGCCUAGCCUUUUCUGUGUCUGUGAUUGACGUAUCUUCAUCGUACGUUUUCCAUUGUUUAACCCAUCCUAAAUAUCGCAUUGGGUCCCCAUCAAAUUCUGGCAAUCCUAGUUUAGGUUCGGCUGUGCCGGAGUGUUUCGCAGUCGUGACUGAUUUUCAUCCUUGCUAGUAAUUCAUCUGCCGCGGAUUUCGCUUUCCUUAAUUCCCUUCUUUGGUUGAUGUCACUACGCUGCCAUAUCUCAUCGUGGGAUUUGUUCAAUAUGAUCUCGGCGGUUGUUGCUCGAGUCAGUGCUAUCAGUUUAUCGUCAUUACUCCCGUUUUGGUAGUUAGCGUAUUCACCAUCUAUCUCUUUUACUAACUCGUGAAACUCUGCUAGCCGGGCUUCGUAUAAUUCGCUUGUUUCAGACGAGUCUGUUGGUGAUAUUUCUGUCGGCGAAUUUACCAUCCUGGUUCUCAGGUCAUUUAAUGCAUGUGUCUGCUGUGCGUAUUUUGUUUCCAUUAAGGAUAUUCGUGACUCUAAGAGAGCGAUAUCAUUAUCCCAUUGUCUGUUUUGAUGAUAUUGUUAUCAUUAGUUCUCUGUGCUCUCCGAAUUUCUUUGACGUCCCGUUUAAUUUUUUUCGUUUGAUUUCUGAUUAGUGUUUUAACCGUAUCUUCUGCAAUUUCUUCCUCUUCUUCUUCCUCACCCGACUCGAGAUUAGCGUCCUCGUGUGAAUCGUCUUUAUCCGUUCCCCUUGACGGUGGAACCUCGCCUCACGGCUCUAGUCCCGUGUCGAUCACUGUGUUUUCUCGUUCCUCUUCCGUUACAACGGUUAUUUUUUUGUUUUUGUUACCUCGCGUACGUUUGGAUGGCCCUGCCUCAUCUGCCAUGUUUAGUGUGGUUUUUUUAUAAGCAAUAUAAAUGAACAUGGUUUAGUAUGCAACGACCUUUGUAUUACUAUGUUUAUACAAUAGUUUCAAUAUCCAUAGAAUUAACGUCGUCUAAUAACUUAUCUUCGUCCUCUUUCUCUUUUUUCUGUUUCUCCAGUAACUCGUUCUCUUUGAUCAGUUCUAAUUUCCGUUUCUCCAAUUCUUCGUUGCCUUUCAUCAGCUCUAGUUGUUUGAAUACCAGUCUGAAAUGCUCUGUUCGUCCCUUAACCGGUGUGUCCGGCGGAGUAAUCGACACGGUAUUGACGGCGAUACUGCUUGAGCUUGCGUGAGCCACCAAUGUGUCUUUGUAUUUAUUGACUAGUUCUUGUUUCUUUUUGUUUAUCUCUUCCUGCUUACGUUCAAGAUUAGAUAUUUGGUACAAAACCUUUGUUUGUUGCGCUGCUAUCGCGGCCUUGGCUGCUGCUUCUUUGGCCAGUGAGUCCUGGAAUUGCUGCUUUUCUUCCAAUUCACAGAGCUUCUCCUUUGCUUCUGGUGUUAUAUGGUCAGAAUUGAAAGCCAGUGGCCUGGGUGUGUGGUCUUUCCCAAGUUGUCUCUUAGCAGUAUAACGGGCUUGCCCUUGCCUCCUCUUCUUGAAUCCCUUGCGCGUCUAAGCAGGAGUGAAGCACGACACGUCUGACGGCGUAAUUGACGUAUUUGACCGAUGACGGGCAACUUUCUAGCGGACAAAAUAAAUUUGCAAUCGGGUUAAACAAAACUACAAAAAUUGCUAUCUGGUUCAUCGCUAUUAACUUUACCCAUCCUUCACCACUCCUACUGCAGAGUUUGGCUCCCACGAGUACCGUGAUUGGGCGUCUCGGUUGUCGUCGUGUUGUGCGAGCCUAUCAUUAAAUCAGGUGGUUGCCACUGCUUGGCCGCAGCACAACAAGGGUUCAUCCUGACCGUCUGCCUUUGUUGGAUUACAACUGCAAAUUGCACUUUAACAUCGACAUCCCCGUGCAUCGUCGUGUCCACCUCCGCCGCCACAGAAAACGUAUUUUUCACCACUGGUCCGGCCGUGGAAUCUGCUCCCACAAUUGUCUCCGAAUGCAAAUUUGAAAC
rnacentral:lncRNA from 1 species